CACGUAGGGCGCAAGCGUUGUCCGGAAUUAUUGGGCGUAAAGAGCUCGUAGGCGGUCUGUUGCGUCCGCUGUGAAAACUCGGGGCUUAACCCCGAGCCUGCAGUGGAUACGGGCAGACUAGAGGUAGGUAGGGGAGAAUGGAAUUCCCGGUGUAGCGGUGAAAUGCGCAGAUAUCGGGAGGAACACCGGUGGCGAAGGCGGUUCUCUGGGCCGAAACUGACGCUGAGGAGCGAAAGCGUGGGGAGCGAACAGG
rnacentral:rRNA from 1 species